rnacentral:rRNA from 2 species
UAGGUUGUCGGAUAUUGGGCGUAAGAGCUCGUAGGCGGUUUGUCGCGUCUGCUGUGAAAUCCCGAGGCUCAACCUCGGGCUUGCAGUGGGUACGGGCAGACUAGAGUGCGGUAGGGGAGAUUGGAAUUCCUGGUGUAGCGGUGGAAUGCGCAGAUAUCAGGAGGAACACCGAUGGCGAAGGCAGAUCUCUGGGCCGUAACUGACGCUGAGGAGCGAAAGCAUGGGGAGCGAACAGGAUUAGAUACCCUGGUAGUCCAUGCCGUAAACGUUGGGCGCUAGAUGUAGGGACCUUUCCACGGUUUCUGUGUCGUAGCUAACGCAUUAAGCGCCCCGCCUGGGGAGUACGGCCGCAAGGCUAAAACUCAAAGGAAUUGACGGGGGCCCGCACAAGCGGCGGAGCAUGCGGAUUAAUUCGAUGCAACGCGAAGAACCUUACCAAGGCUUGACAUACACCGGAAACGGCCAGAGAUGGUCGCCCCCUUGUGGUCGGUGUACAGGUGGUGCAUGGUUGUCGUCAGCUCGUGUCGUGAGAUGUUGGGUUAAGUCCCGCAACGAGCGCAACCCUCGUUCUAUGUUGCCAGCGGGUUAUGCCGGGGACUCAUAGGAGACUGCCGGGGUCAACUCGGAGGAAGGUGGGGAUGACGUCAAAUCAUCAUGCCCCUUAUGUCUUGGGCUUCACGCAUGCUACAAUGGCCGGUACAAAGGGCUGCGAUACCGUAAGGUGGAGCGAAUCCCAAAAAGCCGGUCUCAGUUCGGAUUGAGGUCUGCAACUCGACCUCAUGAAGUCGGAGUCGCUAGUAAUCGCAGAUCAGCAACGCUGCGGUGAAUACGUUCCCGGGCCUUGUACACACCGCCCGUCAAGUCAUGAAAGUCGGUAACACCCGAGCCGGUGACUAACCCUUGUGGAAGGAGCCGUCGAAGUGGGAUCGGUGAUUAGGACGAGUCGUACAGGGGAGCCGAUA